rnacentral:rRNA from 1 species
GAAAGCCCCUGGCUCAACCAGGGAGGGUCAUUGGAAACUGGAGAACUUGAGUGCAGAAGAGGAAAGUGGAAUUCCACGUGUAGCGGUGAAAUGCGUAGAUAUAUGGAGGAACACCAGUGGCGAAGGCGACUUUCUGGUCUGUAACUGACGCUGAGGCUCGAAAGCAUGGGGAGCAAACAGGAUUAGAUACCCUGGUGGUCCAUGCCGUAAACGAUGAGUGCUAAGUGUUGGAGGGUUUCCGCCUUUCAGUGCUGCAGCUAACGCAUUAAGCACUCCGCCUGGGGAGUACGACCGCAAGGUUGAAACUCAAAGGAAUUGACGGGGGCCCGCACAAGCGGUGGAGCAUGUGGUUUAAUUCGAAGCAACGCGAAGAACCUUACCAGGUCUUGACAUCCUCUGACCACUCUAGAGAUAGAGCUUUCCCUUCGGGGACAAAGUGACAGGUGGUGCAUGGUUGUCGUCAGCUCGUGUCGUGAGAUGUUGGGUUAAGUCCCGCAACGAGCGCAACCCUUAUUAUUAGUUGCCAGCAUUCAGUUGGGCACUCUAGUGAGACUGCCGGUGAUAAACCGGAGGAAGGUGGGGAUGACGUCAAAUCAUCAUGCCCCUUAUGACCUGGGCUACACACGUGCUACAAUGGAUGGUACAACGAGUCGCAAAACCGCGAGGUUAAGCUAAUCUCUUAAAGCCAUUCUCAGUUCGGAUUGUAGGCUGCAAUUCGCCUACAUGAAGCCGGAAUCGCUAGUAAUCGCGGAUCAGAACGCCGCGGUGAAUACGUUCCCGGGCCUUGUACACACCGCCCGUCACACCACGAGAGUUUGUAACACCCAAAGUCGGUGAGGUAACCUUCGGGAGCCAGCCGCCUAAGGUGGGACAGAUAAUUGGGGUG